UUGCUGCUGUGUCCUCAGUUGGCCCUGAGGCUGUGGUGAGAGCAUCCUUCCCAUUUCCCACAGAUUGUGCCCCUGGUCGCCAAACUAGUCAGCAGCAGCCCACGUUACCACCGGGCUGAGAGUACUGAGUACAGCAUCAUGGUGAUCGGUGUGCCCAAUGUAGGCAAGUCAUCGCUUAUCAACUCUUUGCGGAGGUUGCACCUCAAAAAGGGAAAAGCCACAGCAGUGGGUGGUGAGCCAGGUGUCACCAAGGCGGUGCUGACCCGGAUCCAGGUGUGCGAGACUCCCCUGGUGUACCUGGUGGACACGCCAGGUGUGCUGCCCCCAAA